GACGAACGCUGGCGGCGUGCUUAACACAUGCAAGUCGAACGGAAAGGCCCUGCUUUUGUGGGGUGCUCGAGUGGCGAACGGGUGAGUAACACGUGAGUAACCUGCCCUUGACUUUGGGAUAACUUCAGGAAACUGGGGCUAAUACCGGAUAGGAGCUCCUGCUGCAUGGUGGGGGGUGGAAAGUUUCGGCGGGUGGGGAUGGACUCGCGGCUUAUCAGCUUGUUGGUGGGGUAGUGGCUUACCAAGGCUUUGACGGGUAGCCGGCCUGGGAGGGUGACCGGCCACAUUGGGCCUGAGAUACGGCCCAGACUCCUACGGGAGGCAGCAGUGGGGAAUAUUGCACAAUGGGCGGAAGCCUGAUGCAGCAACGCCGCGUGCGGGAUGACGGCCUUCGGGUUGUAAACCGCUUUCGCCUGUGACGAAGCGUGAGUGACGGUAAUGGGUAAAGAAGCACCGGCUAACUACGUG
rnacentral:rRNA from 1 species